UGGGGAAUAUUGCGCAAUGGGGGAAACCCUGACGCAGCAACGCCGCGUGAUUGAAGAAGGCCUUCGGGUUGUAAAGAUCUUUAAUUGGGGACGAAUAAUUGACGGUACCCAAAGAAUAAGCUCCGGCUAACUACGUGCCAGCAGCCGCGGUAAUACGUAGGGAGCAAGCGUUAUCCGGAUUUACUGGGUGUAAAGGGCGAGUAGGCGGACUGGCAAGUCAGAAGUGAAAUCUGGGGGCUUAACCCCCAAACUGCUUUUGAAACUGCUGGUCUUGAGUGAUGGAGAGGCAGGCGGAAUUCCCAGUGUAGCGGUGAAAUGCGUAGAUAUUGGGAGGAACACCAGUGGCGAAGGCGGCCUGCUGGACAUUAACUGACGCUGAGGCGCGAAAGCGUGGGGAGCA
rnacentral:rRNA from 1 species